GCGGUAGCAGGGAGAAAGCUUGCUUUCUCCGCUGACGAGCGGCGGACGGGUGAGUAAUGUCUGGGGAUCUGCCUGAUGGAGGGGGAUAACUACUGGAAACGGUAGCUAAUACCGCAUAACGUCGCAAGACCAAAGUGGGGGACCUUCGGGCCUCAUGCCAUCAGAUGAACCCAGAUGGGAUUAGCUAGUAGGUGGGGUAAUGGCUCACCUAGGCGACGAUCCCUAGCUGGUCUGAGAGGAUGACCAGCCACACUGGAACUGAGACACGGUCCAGACUCCUACGGGAGGCAGCAGUGGGGAAUAUUGCACAAUGGGCGCAAGCCUGAUGCAGCCAUGCCGCGUGUAUGAAGAAGGCCUUCGGGUUGUAAAGUACUUUCAGUAGGGAGGAAGGUGUGAGCGUUAAUAGCGUUCACAAUUGACGUU
rnacentral:rRNA from 1 species